AUUGAACGCUGGCGGCAUGCUUUACACAUGCAAGUCGAACGGCAGCGCGGGCUUCGGCCUGGCGGCGAGUGGCGAACGGGUGAGUAAUGCAUCGGAACGUGCCCAGUAGUGGGGGAUAGCCCGGCGAAAGCCGGAUUAAUACCGCAUACGACCUGAGGGUGAAAGCGGGGGACCGAAAGGCCUCGCGCUAUUGGAGCGGCCGAUGUCGGAUGAGCUAGUUGGUGGGGUAAAGGCUUACCAAGGCGACGAUCCGUAGCUGGUCUGAGAGGACGACCAGCCACACUGGGACUGAGACACGGCCCAGACUCCUACGGGAGGCAGCAGUGGGGAAUUUUGGACAAUGGGGGCAACCCUGAUCCAGCCAUGCCGCGUGCGGGAAGAAGGCCUUCGGGUUGUAAACCGCUUUUGUUCGGGAAGAAAUCCUCUGGGCUAAUACCCCGGGGGGAUGACGGUACCGGAAGAAUAAGCACCGGCUGACUACGU
rnacentral:rRNA from 1 species